rnacentral:rRNA from 1 species
UACAGAGGUCCCAAGCGUUGUUCGGAUUCAUUGGGCGUAAAGGGUGCGUAGGUGGCGCCGUAAGUCGGGUGUGAAAUUUCGGAGCUUAACUCCGAAACUGCAUUCGAUACUGCGGUGCUUGAGGACUGGAGAGGAGACUGGAAUUCAUGGUGUAGCAGUGAAAUGCGUAGAGAUCAUGAGGAAGACCAGUGGCGAAGGCGGGUCUCUGGGCCUUACCUGACGCUCAGGCGCGAAAGCUAGGGGAGCGAACAGG